GAGUCUCCCUUUCUCCAGCAUCCCAGCAGCUGUGCAGGGCUCUGAAGCUUUCCUCAGUUCUUACUUUUCUGUGAGGCAGCUGCUUUUGAGUCAUCCUGCUCUCUGAUGCUGCAACUGUUACAAGUGGCCGGCCCCUCAAUGGGAUUCCUGGAAGAUUACUCCAGGCAAAACUGCUGAUGGAGAAAGGAAGAAAGUCUCGAAAGGUGACAACCCCUUACCCCAAGACCCUCAUAAUACACCCACUCCUGCUGGAAGCAGACAGCAACCCCUAGCAAGUUACUUUACUUUCUUUUACCAUGAAGAUCUCACUCAAGACCAGCAAGAAAUCACAACUCUGAAGACUCUUACAACAAAGCCUCAUCCACACCUGUGUAGCCAAUUGUAGUCAUUUCCUCAUGGAGGAAAGAGGGAGGAGACUCAUACGAUUUAGGAAGUAACAGACUACCAGAGUCACAAGACCCUGCCCUCAAGGUUGUAAAAGCAGUAAACAAUUUCUGGGAAGAGGAGACCUUUCUGGCAGCCAAGUCAUCUGCAAGUUAUGGGAGAAGCCCCAUGAGGAGAAGCCAAGCUGAGAUUAGUUGCUGUGGUGGAUGCCAGCUGCCAUGCCAGAGUACAUGCAACACCCUGGCAGAGCUAAGGGGUGCUUCAGAGGAGCCACCUGGCAACAGCCUGCCUGGCAUGGAAGACACUUGAAAGCAGAUCACUACACACAGUCAAGCUGUGACAGCACUUCUAGUGAACCCCACCUGCUGUUACUGUUACCUCUUGUGACACAGUGCCUGAGACACCUUGCAGUGCUGCUCCUGGGUCACUUACCCACACAAAUCGCAAUAAAAUAAUAGCUGAUUGAGUUUGUGAAGCUUG